UGGGGAAUAUUGCACAAUGGGGGAAACCCUGAUGCAGCGACGCCGCGUGAACGAAGAAGGUAUUCGUAUCGUAAAGUUCUGUCCUAUGGGAGGAUAAUGACAGUACCAUAGAAGAAAGCUCCGGCUAAAUACGUGCCAGCAGCCGCGGUAAUACGUAUGGAGCGAGCGUUGUCCGGAAUUAUUGGGCGUAAAGGGUACGCAGGCGGUUUAAUAAGUCGAAUGUUAAAGAUCGGGGCUCAACCCCGUAAAGCAUUGGAAACUGAUAAACUUGAGUAGUGGAGAGGAAAGUGGAAUUCCUAGUGUAGUGGUGAAAUACGUAGAUAUUAGGAGGAAUACCAGUAGCGAAGGCGACUUUCUGGACACAAACUGACGCUGAGGUACGAAAGCGUGGGGAGCAAACAGG
rnacentral:rRNA from 1 species